rnacentral:lncRNA from 1 species
GGUGAAGUGCACAGGGUGCUAGCCUGUAGCCUAACAGCUUCCAAACAGAUAAAAAAAAAAAAAAAAAAAAAAAAAAAAGGAGGAGGGGAGUGGAGGUUGUUACUUUUGAGCUACAAAUGGAAAUGUCACCUUUGGGGAAAAAAAAAAUAAAACAAGCUUCCGCUAUUUAAAAUCUGUUUGUCUCUUCAGUGAGACGCUUAUCACCAUGAAUUGUAAUUGGUAGUUGUUGGUAAAAAUAAUUCCUCAAACCUUGACUCCUUGAGGUUGGAGAACUCGUGUUUACUGGUUGUUUUUUUUCUUCAUGCCUCACACCAAGCAGUCGAUCCAGACUUCUUGUUAGUUUGAAUCAAUCUGGGCAGAAAUACAAGGAACAAAUAGGCUUGCAAAACUCGAGAAAUGGCACUCACACCUUUCUAACUGACAGGUGUCAGGCUAAAGUGUCUCUGUUUGUGCUGUGUUUCUUAAUGUCAGUGGACUUUCCUCACAGUGGGGAAGCUUUUCAGAUCCUGAAAACCUUGACCCAGAGUAAUGCCAGGGCAGACUGACUCACAAACAGGACUCUGUACUAGGAGUCUGCAUUUCCGGUAAGAUUUCAGGGAAUUAUUCCUGAUGCAGGUUCCUCAUAACCCAAACUUUCAGAAAGUCACUGAAGACAGCCAGGCAGAUUCACUGACAGGUAUAGAUCCCCACUAUUACCAGCAAGUUUAGCAUCACAUACAGAUAGGAUGAAAACAAGUUUAAUGCUUAAUUCUGACAACCUUCAUGUAUGGAUUGGCACUUCCAGUUGUUUAAUUUUGGGAGUAGGUAGCAAUUGCAUGUCACUGAUGAGUUGAGCAGGACCUGUAUAAGGGUAAACAAACAUCAGGUUGCUUAGCAAUAGCAAGUACCAACUGUGGUCAACAGGUGGUCCUCCUGGUAAUGAAGUCAUUACAGCCAUGGCAUCAGCAUUAUGCAUUGUCACUAGUACUGAUGACACAGGUCUGACCAAAAAGGUGCUUCUCUGGUUAGCUGGUACACACUGAUAGAUGAUUUUAGUCACUUUGAAUAAACAGGCUAGUGCUUUCACAGUGAUUGAAUACUACUUAUGUCAUUUGGAAAUAAUAUUCCAAACAGAGCAGGAGGCUUCUGAAAAUCUCAGUCACACAAAUCUUGGGUCUUCAGGAUGUUUUCUCAUUGGAGAGGCAGAGCCUAUGGAUUCUUUUUGAGUCAUUUCAGUUUUCCUUAAAAUAUUUAUUUAUUUAUUUAUAUUUUUGUUUAAAUAAAUAUUUGUUAAUUCUUCAUGGAAGGUUUAGAGGGCUUAUUUCUUUUCUAGACUAUGGGAUGAAUAUUUCUAUUAAGUAGUAUCAUUUGUAUUUUUCUGCCUUGACAUCUGUUCCUAUAUUACUGGCCAUUCCUCUUUUACUUGUGGGAAAACAUAAUGUAGCUACAAAGACAUGGCUUUGGCAUGAAAACCUUAUGCUGCUUGUUAACAACUCUAUUGCCUGUUAAUCUGUGGCAAGGACACAGAGUUUCCUUAUUACUCUCUGUUCCAAAAUGUCUGUUACAUCACCACCCACACUGAAUGGUCUUUCAUGCAAAUACUCAGUGUUUAAUUAUUUAUUAUUUAGUUUAUUUUCAUGUUGAUAACUCAUAAUCUUUGGUUUAUAAUGCUGUUCCCAUCCGUCCAUAUAUUCCGUCCUGCUCACUUCAUCAUACUCCCUUGACCCCUCCUCCUCCUGUUGGACCUGCCCAGGUCUCCACCCACUUCAGGCUUUCUUUAUUAGUUUUCUGCAUGGGUUUCAGGAAAAGAAAUUGAAUGCUGUGCAAAGUUUUAACUCAACCUAUUUUUUGUUUUAAAUCCCUUUGUUGUGUUUCUGAGAUCAAACUCAGAGCCCUGUAUCUGAUAAUCAUGUAACCCACUCCUGCAUUACAUCCCUAUGAGGCAGUUUAGAAAAAAAUAAGAACUUCUCAAUAGCUGCCAUCUUCACAGCAAAUACUCACUGGACUGAAUUUUUUUCUGGUUUUGCUUUGGAUAUAUUUUUAAAUUCACAUUUGAAUUUCUGUUUGAAUAGUACUAUUACAGCAAUGUUCAAAUGUAAAGGGAACAGACACUCUUACAAUUAAAUUUUCACAUUUUUUAAUUGAAAGAAACAUUAAAGCAAAAUAGAAUUUCAAUAAGUGAGGAAAAAGUAAGUCACGAUGUCGUUAAAACCUUGUAUUUCCUUUGGAAUCCAAAACAAAUGACGUACUAAUUUCAUGUUUCUUUUUUUUUUCUUUUUUGCAGUUUUUAAAUAAGAAAAUGUGUGCCUUCUUGAAUCCACACAUGCAUUAUUCAAUGGUCCUCUUUAAUUGGAAUGUUUUCUUCCAUUUAAGAGAAGGUUUAGUUCAUUAGCAUUUUUAGAAAUCAAAUUUCUGUUGUCACACCUGUGGCCACCACAGCUAGUUACAUUUUUUUCUUGCCGAAAUGACAUGGCCCAAAUAGCAAGCGAUAUUUCUUAAUUUACAUUAUGAUGAAAUUGGAUUUGUUUGAAGAGUAUUAAUUUCAUUAGGUGUUUAUUCCAAAAAUCUAAUGAAAUGAAUGGUAUUCAAAUCUAUUCAUUUUCUAAGAAUGUUCUGCAGACUACAUCUUCUUGGUGCAUGUUUUCUACUUGUCAUGUAGAAUUCAAAACUUGUAAGGUAGAUUCUGCUUAGAGUUGGCAACACUGAGAUCUGGAGAAACAUCCUUCUUUUUCUGAAUCUCUAAGUACAGAAGACAUGAGUAAAUUUUAGUACCUAGUAAAACUCGGAGUCCUCACACAGCCAAUGAAUGCUGAUGAUUAUCACUGAGAAGAAUACAACUUGGAAACAUCUUCAAGAAAAGACUGUAAAUAACUCAUGAGUAACGUGGAGAGAAUGUUCGAGAAAUGUCACAUCCAAGAGUUUUACAUUGCCUACCAAUAAUAAGAAAGCCAGGUAAAACACUUCAUAGGUGGCUUCACACAUCAUCCCCAGGGUUCGGCAUCUGCUUCUUAGCAGGCUUUGUUUUAUUUUCCCAGACAUAGUGAAGGGAAAUCACACCUCAGUACUAGAAUGGCUGGGACAAUUAGC